UACAGAGGUCUCAAGCGUUGUUCGGAUUCAUUGGGCGUAAAGGGUGCGUAGGCGGCGCGGUAAGUCGGGUGUGAAAUCUCGGGGCUUAACUCCGAAACUGCAUUCGAUAACUGUCGGGCUCGAGUCCGGAAGAGGGAGUGUGGAAUUCCUGGUGUAGCGGUGAAAUGCGCAGAUAUCAGGAGGAACACCAAUGGCGAAGGCAGCACUCUGGGACGUGACUGACGGCUGAGACGCGAAAGCGUGGGGGAGCAAACAGG
rnacentral:rRNA from 1 species